rnacentral:rRNA from 1 species
AUGGCAAGAGCAAUUGUAAUGAUAUUACUCAUGGCCAUUGUGCUUGUUGCCACUACGCCGACGACACACGCCAUGGACAUCACAAAUAGUGAUUUGGCAUCUGAGGAGUCCCUAUGGGCACUAUACGAGCGAUGGUGCAAGCGUCACAAUGUGGGACGCGACCUCAGCGACAAGGCCCGGCGCUUCAAAGUGUUCAAGGAGAACACUCGCAUUAUCCAUGAAUUCAACCAAGGUGACGCACCCUACAAGCUGAGCCUCAACCUCUUCGGUGACAUGACUGAUGAAGAGGUCGACCACAUGUACGGUCGCUGCUCCAACAUUAGGCCGGACAGCGGGAAGCGGAGGCAAGACCAGUUCACACACGGAGUUGUUGUCGCGCGUGACAACUUACCAAUGUAUGUGGACUGGCGCAUGACAGGCUAUGACCAACGCCCGUCGGCGGUGACAAGCGUGAAGAUACAAGGAGAUUGUGGGGGCUUGUUGGGCUUUUGCGGCGGCAGCAGCAGUGGAGGGCAUCAACUCCAUCAAGACGAGGAACCUGGUGUCAUUGUCUGCACAACAGCUCAUAGACUGCGACGAGGGAAGUACUGGUUGUGUUGGCGGCGGCGCACUAGUAGCCUUAAAGUUCAUUUAUAA